rnacentral:rRNA from 1 species
CAAGUCGUGGGGCAGCAAGGGUAGCAAUACCUGUUGGCGACCGGCAAACGGGUGAGGAACAUGUACGCAACCUUCCUUUAACUGGAGAAUAGCCCCUCGAAAGAGGGAUUAAUACUCCGUAACAUAUUGAUAAGGCAUCUUAUUAAUAUUAUAGCUCCGGCGGUUAAAGAUGGGCGUGCACCUGAUUAGAUAGUUGGCGGGGUAAUGGCCCACCAAGUCUGCGAUCAGUAACUGGUGUGAGAGCACGACCAGUCACACGGGCACUGAGACACGGGUCCGACUCCUACGGGAGGCAGCAGUAAGGAAUAUUGGUCAAUGGACGCAAGUCUGAACCAGCCAUGCCGCGUGGAGGAUUAAGGCCCUCUGGGUUGUAAACUCCUUUUAUCUGGGAAGAAAUGUACUUUUUCUUGAGUACUUGACGGUACCAGAGGAAUAAGCACCGGCUAACUCCGUGCCAGCAGCCGCGGUAAUACGGAGGGUGCAAGCGUUAUCCGGAUUCACUGGGUUUAAAGGGUGCGUAGGUGGGCAGGUAAGUCAGUGGUGAAAUCUCCGAGCUUAACUCGGAAACUGCCGUUGAUACUAUUUGUCUUGAAUAUUGUGGAGGUAAGCGGAAUAUGUCAUGUAGCGGUGAAAUGCUUAGAUAUGACAUAGAACACCAAUUGCGAAGGCAGCUUACUACACAAUCAUUGACGCUGAGGCACGAAAGCGUGGGGAUCAAACAGGAUUAGAUACCCUGGUAGUCCACGCCCUAAACGAUGAUUACUCGACGUGUGCGAUACACUGUACGCGUCUGAGCGAAAGCAUUAAGUAAUCCACCUGGGAAGUACGUUCGCAAGAAUGAAACUCAAAGGAAUU